rnacentral:lncRNA from 1 species
AAUAACUGUAGUGCAAUUUUCCUUAACACUAACAUGAAUGCCUAAUUGGAAAUAUUUGUAUGAUGUUAAUGGAAGUUGAAUUGGUCUCCCAAAUACAAUGAGACUUGAACGUUACUUUGGUAAUUCUGAUAUAUAGAUUUUUAAAAGCACCAACAGGCCCAGAAAAUGCUUUAUGUGAACUCCUUGGAGGAAUUCUUCAGAACAGUUAUUAUUUUAGACCCUAGAAUUUACCACUUUACAGUCUUUCGGGGCUUUGGACUUGUUUCAAGCGCACCCACUUAUCCUUAGGUUCCACUCAAGUAAGGGUAGGUUUACAACUCCAGAAACCACCACUACCACCACCACCCCAAGAGCUUAGUGUACAAUCAAGUAGAGUAACUGGUAUGCAUUUGAGCAAGUGUGCAAGGAUACUUUGGGGCCCAUUUGUCUCUGUGGGAAUUGUAUGCCUUAAUCUGUGUAUUUGUAACAGUUUUUAGUGGUUUAAGGAAGUGUCUUAGUGUAUAGGUCUGUGGGCCUGUGGAGAUGCGUGGGAAUGUUAUGGGUGGAGGUGCCUGAAAGUGGGAAAGACGACUGGCUGCCCAAGGUAGGGGGAUGAUUGACAGCAGACAGCCCCGCCCCCUUCCCCUCCAUUCCUUCCUCUCCUGGUGCAUGGAACUAUCCCUUGAGUGCAGCAAGUUGUAGCGGGCACCGCUGAUCGUGUUUCCCUUUGGGGCACCUUUUAUCUAGAAGCCGAGUUCAGUUUCUUCCAAAGUGAGCCACUCCGCCCCCCUACUCCAUCCUCUUGAAUAAGGAAACAGCCGCCAAGCAUCAGCGGAGCCCAGAUGAGCCGGGGCCGCGGAACCGCUUAGCAGUCUCCCGGGACCCAGCUCUGGAGGAGCCGCAAGCAUGCACCCUGGGUGAGCUGUUGCUAUCACGAGCUCCCCUCCUCUUUCUUACUUUGGGCUACUUUGCCGGACCUGCACUAUACUUGUACUUCUGUCACUGCAGAAAAAGUGGCUGUAGUCAGCAAAAAGGGGUCGGGGGUCUAUGGACAGACACAGGAUCCCGGAGAAAACCCAUGUUAUUCACCCUCCCUCCCGUUUCAGGUUGUGGCUGCUUCUGGUUACUUUGUGCCUGACCGAGGAACUGGCAGGAGCGGCAGAAGAAAUGUGUUUUUCCCUGGUCUACAGGAACAUGAAUUGGCACACACGUUUGAAAGUGGGAGGAGUACACAAGAAAUGGGACUUGGAAGUACGGCGAAUGCUAUAGAAGUUAAACUUAAGUAUUUUCUUUGGAGUCAUUUGACAGUACCAGGUGACAACAUCUGGGCUCUUUAA